UGAAGCUAGUCAGUGCCAUUUUGGAAUUGGGCAGGAAGCACCACCCAUCGUAAAACCUCGGGCCAACCAUAUUUAGUUAGCACAUGUGCAUUUAAUCUCACACCACUGCUGGUACCUUGCACUUGCCACUGCAUCUGUGAGAUCAUUCUUGGAUGGUCCCACUCGCCAACUACUGACUGUCUCUCCCUGGGCUGUCCAUGCCCAAACUCACUUAACCAAGAAGCCCAGGGAAUUGCCGUUAUGGAUGGGCCUUCAUCUCCCCCCCAGCAAAACCAGUUCCUCCUUAUUCCCAGGAAUGGAGAGGAUCCAGGAGCCACAGCUUGAGUCUACGUCCGGGCACGCUCCCAUAUGCACUGAACACGUAUUUCCUAAACAUCUGAUACACGUGAGGCGUCGGGCCAGGCGCUGUGAGCGCAACCUGGCGGAGCCGACCUAUGUGGCCCCUCUGUGGGCUGAGGACAAGGGGGGGCGUGACGGAUAUCAGCCCUCGGCCCCCUCCUCCACUUUUCAAAAAUUACUCAGAGCCCUAACAAAAAAAUAAAAGUUGGAUCUUUCACCUUGCCGUAACCACAAAGCAAUUUUUUUUU